UGCUAGCCAAGGCUCCAAGCCUCAGAAG
rnacentral:piRNA from 1 species